GUAGAAAUAAUCUACUUGGGGGAGAAGAGAAGGGACAAGUGUAUCAAGGAAAGAUACAGAAUCAAUAUAUUUGCUGCUGAUGCAUGUACAUUCAUUAAUUCCUUUAUUCAACAAAUACUUGUUGAAAGCCGUCUAUGUUCCUGGCCUUGUCCUAGCUUCUAAGGAAAACAUCGCCAGACAAAGUCUCUGUCUUCUUGAAACUUACAUUCUGUGUAGGGAGGUGGUCAAGACUUAGGGUCGGCAGGUGUUCUAUAAGGAGACAAGGUUGUUAAUGAUCUAGAAAGAAAGCUAUGGCAGUGGCCCAGAUGAAAUUAUGAAGCCUGGGCUACCGUGGUGGCUGGGGGAAUGGAGAGUGGGUUGAUUGUGUCCCGCAAAAAUAGGUUCAAGUUCUAACCCUUGGUACCUGAGAAUGUGACUUUACUUGGGAGUAGGUUUUUACAAAUAUAAUCACAUUAAAAUGAGGUCAUACUGGAUUACAGUGGGCCCGAAUCCAGUGACUGUUGUCUUCAUGGGAAGAGAAAAAUUUGAACACAGAGACACAGAGGGAAGAAGGCCAUGUGAUGAUGGAGGCAGAGAUUGGAUUAAUGUUGGCUCCAAACCAAGGAACCCCCAAGGGCUUCUGGCCACCACUGGAGCUAGGCCAGAAGUAUGGGAUGGCUUCUCUCUCAGACCUCCAGGGAAAACCAAUACUGCCAACUGUCUGCUGAUUUCAGACUGUGCCUCCUCAAUUGUGAGAAAAUAAAUGUCUGAUGCUUGAAGGCACCCCGGUUUUGGGUGCUUUGUUAUGGCAGCCCUUGGAAUUUAAUACAGAGAGGAAAGUUCCAUUGCAGAAGACACUGCGGAAUUAGAACAGACAGGAUUUGGGAAUGGGUUAGACACAGGGCCUGAAGAAUGCUUCAGCAACCACCCUCAGGACUCCAGCUCAGGGAAUUUCACUACAAAUAGGCUCAGUGAGGGAUGGAGACUGCUUGCUCCAGUACUUGAUACACCAAAGAUGCAAAUUCAUCUUCUAUCAUAGCCAAAGAAGACCAACAAAGACCAACAGAGGCCAUGUCUCGCAUUCAGCUCCAACAGCAGGCAGUAGAUUUGUUACAGAGACUAAAACCCACCUUAUUGCCAAGUGACCCUCCUCUCACCAGCCUCCCCUGCUGCCACCCAAAUUCCUGCCACUGAACUACUCCUCAAAAUAAAACACAGCUGUAAAAUGCACACCUGUUUUGGAUUAGUUACAAUAAAUCAGGAUCUGUACUUAUUUCAGUUCCCCAGACAGGUGAAGAACAAGCUGCGUUUAUAGCAAGCCAACUAGAAAGCAGAAGAAAAUUCCAGUCACGAGUUUUUGUUUUUCCUCUUAGGGCAAAGGAGGUUACACUUGAGGAGCCUAAAUUUCUUGUUGUUUCCAAACUCCUGUGAGUCUUUACAGAAAUGCCUCUAAAAGUUGUAGUAUUCUCUCUCUAGAUCCAUCUAACUGAGCCCAUGGUUUCCAAACUUUAAUGCCCAAGAGAAUCCUCAGACCGCAUAUUAAAAAUGCAGGUUCAGGCCUGCAUUUAUUUCUCAGACAGCAUAUUAAAAAUGCAGGUUCAGGCCUGCAUUUAUUUCUCAGACAGCAUAUUAAAAAUGCAGGUUCAGGCCUGCAUAUUUUUUCACGGUGGCUCAUGUCUAUAAUCCCAGCACUUUGGGAGGCCGAAGCAGGCAGAUCACCUGAGGUCAGGAGUUCGAGACCAGUGUGGCCAACAUGACGAAACCCUGUCUCUACUUAAAAAAAAAAAAGGCCGGGCGUGAUGGCAGGCCCCUGAGGUCCCAACUACUCGGAAGGCUGAGACAAGAGAAUCGCUUGAACCUGGGAGGCGGAGGUUGCAGUGAGCCGAGAUUGCGCCACUGCAGUCCAGCCUGGGUGACAGAGCAAGACUCUGCCUCAAAAUUAAUAAAAAUGCAGGUUCAGCAAGUCUGUGGUAAAACUUAGGGACCUAUGUUGUUUUUUUAAACACGCACCUCAUCAGGUGAUUCCAAUGCAAAUAGUCCAGGCCCUCACUUUAAGACACUGCCCUGGGGACUCCAAGCAGAGUAGAACCACCUGAACACGAGACAUCCAAAUCCUUAGUGCAGGCUGUUUGCCAGGACAUGUUUCUGUAAUGAGUUAGCUCUGUGAGAUCGGUCUACAAGAGAAUGAUGUCAGUAUAACCAACACGUGGCAUUGGUUCAUACGCAGUUUUUCUUUGGCAAAGGGAACCAGAAUAGCUGGAAUAAAUUACAGAAAAUUGAGCAGGAAAACAAGCCUUUGACUCAGCCUCUGCAUUGGCAGCAGGGGCCCUAUUAAGUUGUAUUUUAACAGAAUUUCAAAUGCAGCCUGCCCUCAGUGGUCCUCUCUCCUAAGAAGCAAACUCCAAGCCCGUGUGUCUAAGGGCAGGUUGAGUGGCGCCCCCAGACCCACUUUAACAGCAGCUUUGCUGGCUCAGAGACCCACUUCUGUCUUUGAGGUCUCCGCACCCUCAAGCUGGCUCCAUCUGAAAGAUCUCCAGCAUCUCCACUCUGUUGUGUGUUUUUAAUAUCUGCCAUGGUGGCCUCCUGCCAGCCUGGGCCACCUCCCUGGGCAGUCCAAGUGAGUUUCCCGGGCACAUGUUUUGAUUUUAUUAGUUUCUGGUUUCAAAAUGGUCUGUUUCCUAAGUGACCUCUUGGGGAUGCUAAUUUUCCCCAAAGCCCUUACACUUUAAGGGUGUGAUUUUUCAGAAUGUGAGGUGUUUCUGGGAUGCAUAUAUGGCACUAGGACAGGAACGCCUUAUGUGUGAAGAAUACCCAUUGCCUCUGUUUGAAAAGUGCUAUUGAAUAACCUGAUGCUGUGUUCCUUGGCUAAGAUUGUGGGAAAUCACGGGCAAGGACUCCCGAAUCCCCAAGAAAGUACAUCACAAGCUGUAUAGCCUUUAGCUCUCUGCAGCCCUACUCAGGGGAGGUGGAACUUGGAACCCCCCAGGAUUUAGCUCCAUAUGGGCUCCAGGACUCUCAACCACAGCUGUGCCUCAGUUACCCAGGGUCAGCUGGAGCUUCCAUAAGGCACGCACGCCUGAGCUCUACCCUCGAUCUAUUGAAAUAAGGACCUCCGGGGUGGGGCUUGUAUGUCUGUAUACAGUUAGCCUCUGUAUCCGUGGGUUUUAAAUUUGUGGAUUCAACCAAUCAUGGACCCAAGAGAUUUGGGGAAAAAUUGCAUCUUUACUGAAUGUGUACAGACUUUUAAAAUUGUUACUCUCAGCAAUAGAGUAUAACAACUAUUCACGUAGCAUUUACAUUGUAUUAGGUGUUAUAAGUAAUUGGAGAUGAUUUGAAGUGAACAGGAGGAUGUAUAUAAGUUAUUUGCAAAUACUAUGCCAUUUUAUAUCAGAGACAUGAGCAUCCUCAGAUUUUGGUAUCUGAGGGGGGUCCUGGAACCAAUCCCCUACAGAUACCAAGAGACAAGUCUAUUUAGAAGUUACAGGCUGGGCACAGUGGCUCACACCUGUAAUCCCAGCACUUUGGGAGGCCAAGGCAAGAGAAUCACUUGGGGCCAGGAGUUCGAGACCAUCCUGGGCAACAUGGCAAAACCCCAUCUCUACUAAAAAUAGAAAAAUUAGCCAGGUGUAGUGGCAUGUGCCUGUAGUCUCAGCUGCUCGUGAGCCUGAGGUGGGAGGAUCACCUGAGGUCCAGGCUGUAGUAAGCAGUAACCAGGCCACUGCACUCCAACCUGGGUGACAGAGACCCAGUCUUGGGGGGGAGAAAAAGUUUCCAUAUGAUUGUGUAGCUCAGCCAAGGCUCUCAACCUUGGAAGUAUAGAGAAUCACCUGGGAGCUUUUAGAGCUUCCAACGCCCACACUGCAGACCAAAUCACAUCAGAAUGUCUGAGGGCAAAACCCAGGCAGCUGAAUGUUCUAAAGCUCCCAGGUGAUUCCAUGCAUAGCUAGGGUUGAGGGCUUGGCUUUGGGGUCUUUUCUAAUCUGAGAAGGAUCCUAUACUCUGUGGACUGGGGCUAUUGGAACUUCAGUGUGUGUAUGAAUCUCCUACGAGUCUGGUUGAGAAUGCAGAUUCUGAUUCAGUAGGACUGGAACAGGGCUUCUGAGCCUGCAUUUCUAACCAGCUGGUCCGCGGACUACACCAAGAGUUGCACAACUGCAGGCACUAAUGACUCUUUAUUGAUUAUUUAACCCUGACUGAGGAUAAUAACUGUAGUAAGCCAGGACAUUAAACUGCAGGUCCAGGACAGUUAAUGGUAUUUGGCAGAAGUGGCACAGCAGGCUUUGUGAUUAAAAAGAAAACAAAUGUUUGUGUUCCUCCCUGGGUCAGCUAAGGAAUGGUACUGACAAGAGGCAUGCUGGCCACACUCUAAGAGAUGAGUGACUAGAAACCUCCGCCCUUCUGGCUGGGCGCGGUGGCUCAUGCCUGUAAUCCCAGCGCUUUGGGAGGCUGAGGUGGGCGGAUCACAAUGUCAGGAGGUCAAGACCGUCCUGGC
rnacentral:lncRNA from 10 species